rnacentral:ncRNA from 1 species
GCCAUGAACUAGGGGUGCCUGAUGAAUCAGGCUGAGAGAAAACUACCAGAAUGUUUUAAACCCUGAAGCGGUGAGAGCUGCUUCGUACCUGAUCCGGAUAAUGCCGGCGUAGGGAUGUAUAGGAUUUUAGGC